rnacentral:tRNA from 1 species
GGCGAGGUAGCUCAGUCGGUAGAGCAGAGGACUGAAAAUCCUUGUGUCGUCGGUUCAAUUCCGACCCUUGCCACCA